rnacentral:lncRNA from 1 species
GGGCCAGUUUGAAAUGGAGUCCCACAUACACCAUUGCGUGUACCGAAAAUACAAAUAGAUUGAAGCAAUAUGAUUUAUUCCUCAGCCAUUAGAUCUUAAUCCAGUGGCUGAAAUAUACACUCCGAGACUUGAAACCGGUAGGGGACUCGGGAGUUGCGACGAGGUCCGCCGGCCCUAACCCAUUCACGAGUCUCACCCGAUCGAUCCCUCCCAUCUCUCAUCUAUUUCCCCUCUUCGUCCUCUCCCAAUCCAUCCCUCGCGUCCGGUCUACACCUUUUUCCGGCUCUCUACCACUUCGACGGCAACAAGGUCUCACCUUUUCCCGGCGAGCUUGAGCUCGGCCUGGCCAUCUCGUGCCGAGCUCGAGGGCGGAGUUGCUUCCCAUGGAUGCGGAUACGGCCAUGGAUAUGGAAAUAGGGGAUGGCUCUUCGUCCUACUCCUCCUCCAAGCGUCUGGGCAUCAAGAACACCAUCCAAACCAAUUUCGGCGACGAUUACGUCUUCCAAAUUGCUUCCAGGUAUCUUUACCCGUCACCGCCUUCGAUGGAAUCAGCUGGAAUAUUGGAAGAUGUCUCUUGGACUCAAUCUGUUCUUCUUGUAUUUCCGUUCGUUCUUUUUAAAGAUUUGUUCGUUAAUGUCAAUCAUAUGAAUUGGUAACUUGCUCAAUAAGUUGCUUGCUUGUGCCAUGCAGCCUUACUAUUUCUUUAAUAAUCGAGUCGAAAAGUGAUCAAUAAAAAUACUCGUUUAGCCAUAUCCUUCUUCAUGAUGAUUUAUUUUAUUUUUUAGACCUUUUGAUAAGUGGGCGACCACUGGGCUAGGAAGGAGGAGCUCCGAUGAGAAUCGGCGAGUUGCGGUCUUGCGGCGCGCAACGUCGUCCGAGAGAUCUGCAAGAAGCCGGUGGUCGGGGUUUCCGGCGCCGGCCCUCUGAUGCUUAAGUUAGAGGGGGCAAGUGUAUAAACGGGAGGAGUUGUGAAUAUUCAGAGUUUCAAUCUUCCAGUCCCCUUUUAAAAUGGAGAAGUUCCCCUUUUAUGGAGGGAAGUUGGGUUACUUGUGAUGUGACGGGGCAAACGGUCUGUCGUACGAUUGGGCAUGCAGUAGAAAUUAAUGCUCGAUCGUGUGAAUCAAUGCUGUUACUGUAGGAGAUCAGGCCGAAGCUUACAAAUCAUCGUGGAGUCAUGCCAUCAUUUGUAGCCGAGCAGAUUUACCGUAAGGGGCUUGAUGUCCGUAGACAGCAGAAGCUAUACGCUUUAAUUGUUGAGUAAGCUGAGUACCUGUAGGGGCCAUACGCUUUGAUUGUUGAGUAAACUGAAUGCCUGUAGGAGUCAUACGUAUUGAUUGUUGAAGAAGGCAAGGCAUAGUUUUUCGGUCGCGCUGCGGGGGAUGUGACCACAGCGCGCGAGUCGGAAGGCUUUGGGUCGGUAGGGCUGCUUGGACGCUUCCAGGUUGGAGAGGUCACUCGGGCGCCUCCGGAUUUCCUGGUCGAAGGAUCUGCUCGGUCGCCUCCAGGUCGGAGGGUCCGCUCGGACGCCUCCAAGUCGGAGGGUCUGGUCGGACGUUCAUGCAAGCGUGACGAUUUAUAUUUUUUCCCCCCAACACUAUCCCCCGACUUCCGAGCUCGAGCUGCUCGCAGGCUCGAGCGCGGGAANNNNNNNNNNNNNNNNNNNNUCUGCUCGGUCGCCUCCAGGUCGGAGGGUCCGCUCGGACGCCUCCAAGUCGGAGGGUCUGGUCGGACGUUCAUGCAAGCGUGACGAUUUAUAUUUUUUCCCCCCAACACUAUCCCCCGACUUCCGAGCUCGAGCUGCUCGCAGGCUCGAGCGCGGGAAGUAGCUUCGGUCGUGUUAAUGUGGAUUAGGAGAAUUUUGAAUUAUUGCGCGCUUCAAGGUGCUUUUAAUGGGCAGCGUCUCCUUUUUUCCGAAACGUUUCAUCGGGGGGUGCCUUUUUAUUUUUCGAAGCGUCCUCGCGUCGUGGCCUCAUGAUGGGGCCACACGAUCCAACGAGGCGCUUCCAUAUUCGAAGCGUCAGCUCGAAUUGAAUGCAGCGCUUUAAUUUUCGGGGUCGACACGUGUUGUGAUCUGGACGGGAAGCAGUGCUCCGCCUCGCAGAUCUGGGCCGUCAGAGGGAUUUAUAUAAAUUCCUACUUGGCCGUCUCUGACUUCUUUCCCAUAGCCUCUCCAUCUUCUUCCCAGUCCGAAGCGGCCAAUCCUCCAUUACCUCCGACGAACUCCCAAAGGUGUCCUCUUCGUCUAUUCGGAACCCUCUCUUCCUCCCCUCUCCUUCUCUUUCUUCUUUCUUUCUUUUUUUUCCUAAUGGGUCUUGGUCCGGAUGAAAUUGGGUCCACAAUGAGUGAGGAGGAGGUUGAAAUGGCCGAGGAGUGGUUUUUUCCUCGGCAAGGGUUCCGUGGAACCCGCUGGGUUGGGCGAUCGGGUAACGAACCCCCUACAGGUCGGAUCAGAGUGUAUAUGGAGGCACUCUAGGCCGGCCUGCGAUUUUCCUUCCAUAGGUUCGUGAAUGAGUUGCUUGGGGAGUACCAACUCGUCCCAGCGCAACUUGCUCCGAACGCAUGGAGGACGAUUAUCGAGUUUUUGUCCUUGUGCGUAGCACACGGGAUCCCGUCUUCUGUGAAUGUCUUCCGGCGGCUUUUCAUGUUGAAGUCCAACCCGGGAGACUGAGAGUGGCUCUAUAUCGCCCUUCGGGGGGGGGGCGGCCACUCUUCCGGGGCGCUCCGACGUCCAUUCAUGAAUGGAAGNNNNNNNNNNUUUUUUCUUUUUGGCUUCCGAGCGGUCAUGGGGGUUCGACCCUAGGUGGAGGCAGAGCCGGCUCAAGACCGCCAACAAACUCCCUAGGCUUUCCACGCGCGAGCAGGGGAUCCUUGACGCCGUUCGCGGCCUCGGGGAUGAUAUUCUUCUGAGCGACCUCGUGAGCGAGGAUGCUCUAAUCAAUGUCGGUCUGAGCUCGGCGCGCCCUCAGGGUAAGGAUAGUAACUUAAAAAAUUGUCUCUCUUCUUUUUUCCCUCACAAUAUUUUACAAACUUCUUUUGCUCGUCCUUGCAGACAUUGCGAAAAUGGUGACCAACAGCGGAGCUCUGUACGCUCGGUUCCGAAAGAGGGCGGCCGAGAC